rnacentral:lncRNA from 1 species
ACAGUUUUUUAGGGGUGGGGAAGAUGGCUCAGCAGUUAAGAGUACUUGAUGUUAUCCCAAACCACCCGGCACUCACGUGACAGCUCCCAGCCCUCUAUAACUCCAGUUCCAAGGAAGCUGAUUUCCUCUUGCACUCUCCAUAGACAUCCGACACAGUGCGUAGACACAUGUAUAGGCUCAUCAGUUAAGAACACAUUUUUUGCUAUUCUAGAGGACCUGGGUUGGAUUCCCAGCACACAUAUGGCCAGUAACAGGCACCAGACAAACAUGAGGUGCACAGACAUACAUGCAGGCAAAACACUCAUACAUGUAAAAUAAUAAAAUAAA